CACACACCGCCCGUCAAGCCAUGGAAGCCGGGGGGACCUGAAGUCGGCGUGCUAACCGCAAGGAGGCAGCCGGCCACGGUAGGAUCAGCGACUGGGCCG
rnacentral:rRNA from 1 species